AGUGAACGCUGGCGGUAGGCCUAACACAUGCAAGUCGAACGGCAGCACAGUAAGAGCUUGCUCUUACGGGUGGCGAGUGGCGGACGGGUGAGGAAUACAUCGGAAUCUACUUUUUCGUGGGGGAUAACGUAGGGAAACUUACGCUAAUACCGCAUACGACCUACGGGUGAAAGCAGGGGAUCUUCGGACCUUGCGCGAUUGAAUGAGCCGAUGUCGGAUUAGCUAGUUGGCGGGGUAAAGGCCCACCAAGGCGACGAUCCGUAGCUGGUCUGAGAGGAUGUUAACCAAAAUUGGACCUGGACCACGGUCCAGAUCCUAACGGGAGGAAGCAGUGGGAAAAUUUGACCAUGGGGCGAAACCCUGUCCCAGCAAUACGGGGUGGGUAAAGAAGCCCUCCGGGUUGUAAGGCCCUUUUGUGGGAAAAGAAAGCCGCAGGUUAAUAACCCGGUUGUCUGACGGUACCCAAAGAAUAAGCACCGGCUAACUUCGUG
rnacentral:rRNA from 1 species